rnacentral:rRNA from 1 species
AGAGUUUGAUCAUGGCUCAGAUUGAACGCUGGCGGUAUGCUUAACACAUGCAAGUCGAACGGUAACGAUGGAAAGGCUUGCUCCUGGCUGACGAGUGGCGGACGGGUGAGUAACGCGUAGGAAUCUGCCUAAUAGAUGGGGACAACUCAGGGAAACUUGAGCUAAUACCGAAUACGCCCUACGGGGGAAAGCGGGGGAUCUUCGGACCUCGCGCUAUUAGAUGAGCCUGCGUUGGAUUAGCUAGUUGGUGAGGUAAUGGCUCCCCAAGGCGACGAUCCAUAGCUGGUCUGAGAGGACGAACAGCCACACUGGGACUUAGACACGGCCCAGACUCCUACGGGAGGCAGCAGUGGGGAAUAUUGGACAAUGGGCGCAAGCCUGGUCCAGCAAUGCCGCGUGUGUGAAGAAGGCCUGAGGGUUGUAAAGCACUUUCAGUAGGGAAGAAAGGUCAAGUGUUAAUAGCGCAAGUGAAUUGACGGUACCAACUGAAUAAGCACCGGCUAACUCCGUGCCAGCAGCCGCGGUAAUACGGAGGGUGCAAGCGUUAAUCGGAAUUACUGGGCGUAAAGCGUACGUAGGCGGCUCAUUAAGUCGGAUGUGAAAGCCCUGGGCUUAACCUGGGAACUGCAUUCGAUACUGGUGAGCUAGAGUGUGAUAGAGGAUAGUGGAAUUCCCGGUGUAGCGGUGAAAUGCGUAUAUAUCGGGAGGAACAUCAGUGGCGAAGGCGACUAUCUGGAUUAACACUGACGCUGAGGUACGAAAGCGUGGGGAGCAAACAGGAUUAGAUACCCUGGUAGUCCACGCCCUAAACGAUGUCAACUAGCCGUGGGAACUAUUAAUGUUCUUAGUGGCGCAGCUAACGCGAUAAGUUGACCGCCUGGGGAGUACGGCCGCAAGGCUGAAACUCAAAGGAAUUGACGGGGGCCCGCACAAGCGGUGGAGCAUGUGGUUUAAUUCGAUGCAACGCGAAGAACCUUACCAGCCCUUGACAUACUCGGAACUUUCCAGAGAUGGAUUGGUGCCUUCGGGAAUCGAGAUACAGGUGCUGCAUGGCUGUCAUCAGCUCGUGUCGUGAGAUGUUGGGUUAAGUCCCGCAACGAGCGCAACCCUUGUCCCUAGUUGCCAGCACUUCGGGUGGGAACUCUAGGGAGACUGCCGGUGACAAACCGGAGGAAGGUGGGGAUGACGUCAAGUCCUCAUGGCCCUUAUGGGCUGGGCUACACACGUGCUACAAUGGCGGUGACAGAGGGCCGCAAUCCCGCGAGGGGGAGCCAAUCCCACAAAGCCGAUCUUAGUCCGGAUCGCAGUCUGCAACUCGAGAGCAUGAAGGUGGAAUCGCUAGUAAUCGUGGAACAGCAUGCCACGGUGAAUACGUUCCCGGGCCUUGUACACACCGCCCGUCACACCAUGGGAGUUGGCUUUACCCGAAGGUGGUGCGCGAACCCGCAAGGGGAGCAGCAGGCCACGGUAAGGUCAGCGACUGGGGUGAAGUCGACACA